rnacentral:rRNA from 1 species
AUUCAUCUCCGGGGGUAGAGCACUGUUUCGGCUAGGGGGCCAUCCCGGCUUACCAACCCGAUGCAAACUGCGAAUACCGGAGAAUGUUAUCACGGGAGACACACGGCGGGUGCUAACGUCCGUCGUGAAGAGGGAAACAACCCAGACCGCCAGCUAAGGUCCCAAAGUCAUGGUUAAGUGGGAAACGAUGUGGGAAGGCCCAGACAGCCAGGAUGUUGGCUUAGAAGCAGCCAUCAUUUAAAGAAAGCGUAAUAGCUCACUGGUCGAGUCGGCCUGCGCGGAAGAUGUAACGGGGCUAAACCAUGCACCGAAGCUGCGGCAGCGACGCUGAUGCGUUGUUGGGUAGGGGAGCGUUCUGUAAGCCUGCGAAGGUGGCCUGUGAGGGUUGCUGGAGGUAUCAGAAGUGCGAAUGCUGACAUAAGUAACGAUAAAGCGGGUGAAAAGCCCGCUCGCCGGAAGACCAAGGGUUCCUGUCCAACGUUAAUCGGGGCAGGGUGAGUCGACCCCUAAGGCGAGGCCGAAAGGCGUAGUCGAUGGGAAACGGGUUAAUAUUCCCGUACUUGGUGUUACUGCGAAGGGGGGACGGAGAAGGCUAUGUUGGCCGGGCGACGGUUGUCCCGGUUUAAGCGUGUAGGUGUGUGUUCCAGGUAAAUCCGGUUCACUUUAACACUGAGGCGUGAUGACGAGGCACUACGGUGCUGAAGCAACAAAUGCCCUGCUUCCAGGAAAAGCCUCUAAGCAUCAGGUAACAUCAAAUCGUACCCCAAACCGACACAGGUGGUCAGGUAGAGAAUACCAAGGCGCUUGAGAGAACUCGGGUGAAGGAACUAGGCAAAAUGGUGCCGUAACUUCGGGAGAAGGCACGCUGACACGUAGGUGAAGUGAUUUACUCAUGGAGCUGAAGUCAGUCGAAGAUACCAGCUGGCUGCAACUGUUUAUUAAAAACACAGCACUGUGCAAACACGAAAGUGGACGUAUACGGUGUGACGCCUGCCCGGUGCCGGAAGGUUAAUUGAUGGGGUCAGCGCAAGCGAAGCUCCUGAUCGAAGCCCCGGUAAACGGCGGCCGUAACUAUAACGGUCCUAAGGUAGCGAAAUUCCUUGUCGGGUAAGUUCCGACCUGCACGAAUGGCGUAAUGAUGGCCAGGCUGUCUCCACCCGAGACUCAGUGAAAUUGAACUCGCUGUGAAGAUGCAGUGUACCCGCGGCAAGACGGAAAGACCCCGUGAACCUUUACUAUAGCUUGACACUGAACAUUGAGCCUUGAUGUGUAGGAUAGGUGGGAGGCUUUGAAGUGUGGACGCCAGUCUGCAUGGAGCCGACCUUGAAAUACCACCCUUUAAUGUUU